rnacentral:misc_RNA from 1 species
UUUAUAUCUAAAAAUGAAAAAGGAACUGGGGCUUAUUCUUAUUGUCAAAAUACGUUUGCCUGAUUCUAAAGGAAGCAAACUUCAGUUCUUCAUCUCAUAUGAUUCAAAUGUUUGAGAAUUUCCAUCUUUGGUUUCUGCGUUUUCUGACUUUCUGAUUGCUUUUGGUCAUCUAAUCAGGCUAGUGGCAAGCUUGUGGUUCUUGAUCAACUACUUCGAAAACUACAUGAUUCUGGACAUCGUGUCCUCUUAUUUGCUCAGAUGACUCAUACAUUAGAUAUAUUACAGGACUUCCUGGAGUUGCGGAACUUUUCCUAUGAGCGUCUUGAUGGAUCAAUUCGAGCUGAGGAGCGUUUUGCUGCAAUCAGGAGCUUCAGCUCGAAUUGUGCUGGGCGGAGUUCCCAAAG